rnacentral:rRNA from 1 species
AUUGAACGCUGGCGGCAGGCCUAACACAUGCAAGUCGAGCGGAGCGGCGGACGGGUGAGUAAUGCCUAGGAAUCUGCCCGGCAGUGGGGGAUAACGUCCGGUAACGGGCCCUGAUAUCGCAUACUACCAGAUGAGCCUAGGUCGGAUUAGCUAGUUGGUGGGGUAAAGGCCUAACAAGGCGACGAUCCGUAACAGGCCUGAGAGGAUGAUCAGUCACACUGGAACUGAGACACGGUCCAGACUCCUACGGGAGGCAGCAGUAGGGAAUAUUGGGCAAUGGGCGAAAGCCUGACCCAGCAAUGCCGCGUGUGUGAAGAAGGUCUUCGGAUUGUAAAGCACUUUUAGUAGGGAGGCGUUACCUACAGAGAAAGCACCGGCUAACUUCGUGCCAGCAGCCGCGGUAAUUC